rnacentral:rRNA from 1 species
GACGAACGCUGGCGGCGUGCCUAACACAUGCAAGUCGAGGGGCAGCGCGGUAGCAAUACUGGCGGCGACCGGCGCACGGGUGCGUAACACGUAUGCAACCUACCUUCAACUGGAGGAUAGCCCGGGGAAACUCGGAUUAAUACUCCACAACACAGGGAUCCCGCAUGGGAAUAUUGUUAAAGCUACGGCGGUUGAAGAUGGGCAUGCGUUCGAUUAGCUAGUUGGUGUAGGUAACGGCUCACCAAGGCUACGAUCGAUAGGGGGUCUGAGAGGAUGAUCCCCCACACUGGUACUGAGAUACGGACCAGACUCCUACGGGAGGCAGCAGUAGGGAAUAUUGGUCAAUGGGCGCAAGCCUGAACCAGCCAUGCCGCGUGCAGGAAGAAGGCCCUCUGGGUUGUAAACUGCUUUUGAUAGGGAACAAUGCCACUUGCGAGUGGAGCUGAGUGUACCUAUAGAAUAAGCACGGCUAAACUCCGUGCCAGCAGCCGCGGU